GGCUCAGAAGGUAAAGAAUCUGCCUGCAAUGCAGGCAACCUGGGUUCAAUCCCCAGGUCA
rnacentral:tRNA from 1 species